UAGCCCAUAUCUUAAUGGUUAAAGAGACUGAUUGAUAAUCGGUAAAUAUAAGUUCGAUUCUUAUUGGGCUAA
rfam:Candida parapsilosis strain CDC317 mitochondrial contig 006121